CACGUAACGCGGACGCGCCAGGCCGCGCUCCCUCGAAGGCCGGCAGGCCGCUGGAAGGUCGAGCGCCCCGCUCUCUAGCCCGCCCCAACUGGGGCCCGGGGGCCGGGCGCGCCUGCACACGGAGGGACAGCGGCUCUCGGACGGGACGGCGGCGCCUACUCACCGUGCCCAGCGCGCCAACCCAACAGGACCAAGUGCCCCCGCGGCGCUGGGGCCUGGCGGCGCCAGGCCGGGCCCCCGAGGCCGGCCUCGUGGAGGGGCGAGGAGCGGGGGCGCUGCCUCGGGAGCUCGCCCGGACGGCCCAGGGCCCGCCGCCCCAGGGGCUCGACUCCAGGCCCGCUGGAGGGCCUCGCCGCGGUGGACUCCGGGCGGGCUGCACCCAGGUGGGGCACAGCAGGACCUGGACCGGAAGCUGGGGCGCGAGGACGGGAGGCGGCCGCUCCGGGAAGGCCGCUAUCCUGAGGCGGCCAAGUGACCGGACGUGGGCCUCGUGCAGGGGUCAGUCGGAGCCUCCCUGGCACAGCAGAGGCCUCGAGGUGUGGGCAGGCGGCGGCUCACCGGAAGCUGGGCCAGAAGCUCCCUCCACAUGCCGCCGGAAUCCCAGCGGCCAAAGGGUGGGGGGCAUGGGAGGUGAUGACUGCUGGCUCUUAAAACUUCCCCACCCCGCCCCCCCACCCCCGCGCCGGAAGUGACGCACGUUACUCUGCUCGCCCCUCAUUGGCCAAGGGAAAUCAUGUGGCCACACCUUCCUUCAAAAGGGCAGCGCGGGCCGCCCAGCGCUCCUGGACCGGGUGGUGGUGAGGGCACCAGCGUCUGCCCACGUGCCUGCCCUGCCUGUUCAGCCUGGUGGGAAUCCCCGUCCAGGAGUGCAAGCCGGUGGGAACCAACUGCCUGCUCGAUUUACUUCAUCCUUGAAGUGCUGCCCGAUGGUAAAAGAUGGUUUUCUGAAUAAUGUUUAUUAACACCUACUGGUGACCCAACAGAGGGUACUGGUGUUAAGUACUGGCCAGAUCACUCUUCUGGAGGAAGGAUGUUCCAUGAAGCAGGAACUAAACUUCUUCACUGUGGUUUUCCUCUCUUAUUCAGAAACAACAAUAAACAUUUUUGCUAUGUCUUUGAAAAGAGAAAACGAAUGCGAUUUUGAAAGGGAGAAGGAGAAAAGGAAGGAAGGGAGAGAGGAGGGAAGGACUGACGGAGUCUCUGUCAGCCCAGGUGCCCGAAAGCCAUGAACAAAACCAGGAAAUGCCGGGCUUCCUGCCCACAUCUGCCUCUCCUUGGGGUGGGG
rnacentral:lncRNA from 1 species